CCUACGGGUGGCUGCAGUGGGGAAUAUUGGACAAUGGGCGAAAGCCUGAUCCAGCCAUGCCGCGUGUGUGAAGAAGGCCUUCGGGUUGUAAAGCACUUUCAGUGGGGAAGAAAGCCUUGGGGCUAAUACCCUCGAGGAAGGACAUCACCCACAGAAGAAGCACCGGCUAACUCCGUGCCAGCAGCCGCGGUAAUACGGAGGGUGCGAGCGUUAAUCGGAAUUACUGGGCGUAAAGCGCGCGUAGGCGGUCUGAUAAGCCGGUUGUGAAAGCCCCGGGCUCAACCUGGGAACGGCAUCCGGAACUGUCAGGCUAGAGUGCAGGAGAGGAAGGUAGAAUUCCUGGUGUAGCGGUGAAAUGCGUAGAGAUCGGGAGGAAUACCAGUGGCGAAGGCGGCCUUCUGGACUGACACUGACGCUGAGGUGCGAAAGCGUGGGUAGCAAACAGGAUUAGAUACCCCAGUAGUC
rnacentral:rRNA from 1 species